UUCCCGGUCUGAAGAAAUAUAACACAGUGGUCUCAACUGAUACAGUCUUCUAUUCAAGUUCUUUUAUAGUAUUUUGAGCAUUCACAUCUACCAUGCAAAGUCUAGUCCAAUGUUAUGUGUCUAUUCCUAUCAGGACCCAUUUAUUGGCUCUCAGGGCUCCCAGCAGCCAUCAGACCUUAGCUAUUCAGCCUGUAGACCCAUAGAGACCAAAUUGUUAUGGCCCAAGUUCUUCGGCAUAUGAAAAUACUUUAUCAGGCAGGCUAUUAUAAGGGCUCAGAAAUUACCUUCCAGGAAAAAAAAAUUACCUUCCAGGAACUAGUCAAAGGCUAGUCCUUUCUUGGAAUGCGUAUGGUUUGAGCUGUCCUAACCUGCUGAGUUAACCCUUUACUCUACAGAAGAAUGUGGUGUUUAGCAUGUUUAUAGAACUAAUGAAUCUUAACGGUCAUGCUUUACUUUGUUUGCUUCACUACACGUCUGACUCAGAAGUUUCCCACAGUAGCAGGAGGCUAUAUCCGCACCAAAGCACAGUGAUAUUCAACAUAGAUGUAUUAAUUUCCUUACUUCCCCUUCCUGUGUUUUAAGGAUCCCAUUCCAGCCUAUUGUUUACUAUAGAAUCCCUCCAGGAAAAUGCUUUUUUAUAUUCUUAUUGUUGAUCUGAAAUACAGGGUUUUUUGUUUUUGUUUUUGUUUUACUAUUAGAGAUGUUACAUGGAUUUUUCCUUUCAGGGUUUAAUGACAUUCAAGGAUGUAGCUGUAGACCUCUCAGGAAGAGUGGGAAUGUCUGAGCUCUGCUCAGAGAGACUUAUACAGAGAUGUGAUGCUGGAGACUAUAGCAACUUUGUAUCAUCACUGGGUUUCUUGUCCAUGUAAACAGUGGGGAUGUGGAGAAGCGAUGCUGGAGAACUUGGCAGUAGCCACACAGGGGCCUCAUGAAGCAAUAUGGGCAAUGGGGAACCAGCAUUAUGUUAGUGGAGACCAAUGGGGAAAAGCAAACUACCAGUAUUUAAUGGAAGGUUUAAUGGAAGGUUCACAGACACUCUUAAUAGGUGAAAGACUGAAGAGAUGUUUACAAUGAUAGACCAGCUAAUAACAUCUACAUUCAACAAUCAAUUUUAACAUCACAAAAAGAGAGAUAACCAAAUAUGUGCUUCCUGACAUUAUAUAGUAAUUGAUUUCAUUAUACCAUCUAUUAAGUAUUCUUAACAAAGAAAAAGAAAAAUCCAACCUGAAUCUCAUUCAGCCUCUAAAUCUAACAAAUCAUUCACAGGUAAAGUGAAAGCGAGAGAAACAUAUUGAACAAUAUUAAGACUGAAACGUAAGCUAAUCCAGAAGGCAGAAAAUGACCCCUUUCUUCAAAAAAUAAAUUAUAAGGGCGCCUGGGUGGCUCAGUCAGUUAAGUGCCCAACUCUUGAUUUUGGCUCAGGUCAUGAUCUUGCAGCUCGUGGGCUUGAACUCUGCAUCA